GAAAUAUCGGUACUGUGGUAGAUGUACUACCUGCCCAAUUUGUACUGCGCGUAUGUACUGCAGGACAGCGAUGUACUCCGAGCGAGGAAGGGAAAAGAAACCUGGAACCUCUCGUGCGCUCUCUUCCUCUCAGACCCUAUUCUCUCUUGUCUCACUCUUGCUGGCGGCGGCUACUGGGAGUAGCACGACGGGCGGAAGCCGACGGCGGGGAAAAGAUGGCGGCAGGGAACGACGGGCUCAUGUGUGGCGGCGGGGGACGGCGGGAUCCUGAGCGACGAUGGGGAACGGACUAGCGGCGGGAACGACGAGUGUGGUUGGCUUGGUCCACGAUGCAGGUACUUCUUGUCGGAGAGCAGUGCGGCGGCGGCACCCAGCUCUCCUCGGCGCCGGUGGAGGACCGAGCCGCUGGAUGCUUGAGAAGCAGAGGUGGGUGCCAAAUGACAAGAUGGUUCAGAGACAGAGGUAGAUGCCAAAUUGAAUUAACUCUUCUUGAUGUGUUUCUGAUGGAUGUGGCGGUUCUGGACUAAACCAUGGAGACAUCUCCUUCCGCACUGCAAUAUUUUUUUUUCUUUUAGAUCCAAGGAUGUGGUUUAAAGGUUAAAACCCGGCACUUUCUAAUAGUGUAGGACAAUAUAAAACUAUCCGAUGCCUAUAACUAUAGUUUUUUCUUGUAGAGUUGUUUGCUUAUAUGGUUUUCUUUCACUUUUGUUAGCUUUUUUUUUCUUCCUAUCGCUGAUCUUCAGUUACUGCAUGUGCAGCAAUGAGGAACAAUCAGCAGAUUUAGCAUUUAUUUUGCUAAAUAUGCAGGUUAUUGUAAUUAAAAAUCAGCGUGCCUUUCAUCAGCAGGCUAUCGUGGCGGUCUUGUUGAGUCAUUGUUGGGCAUGGGUGGAAGGUUGGCAAAUGUGGUUGAAUGGUACCACUCACACCCUGGUUAUGGAUGAUGGUUGCCAUGCAUUGAUGUUUCUACUCAGAUGUUUCAUCAUCAGUUUACAGAGCCAUUUUUGGUUGUUAUCAUUGACCCUGCAAGGAUUAUUUCUGCUGGUAAAGUGUAAAUUGGAGCUUUUAGGACGUAUCCCGGAAAUUACAGCUUACCUGACAAGACUUUGUAUGAGCAUCAUACCAUACCACAAAGCAAGAUAUAAUAUUUUGGUGUUCACUACAAACAGUACUAAUCUUUGGACAUAGUUAAUUUCAAGUGAUUCAGGGACUCUCACCUCCUUAUCUAUUCUAGAACAAGUGAUGGCCAACCAACAUUGAUCGAGUUUAAUUUGCGUCCAGCUUUUACUCUGUAGAUAUUGAAAUGGGAGAAGGAUCGAACCAUGCAUUUGUCGAAUUCCCUUAUAAGUUCAGAUUGUUGAUCAUGUGGAUCAACCAUUUAUGAUGUGUUAUUUUUUCUUCACAAAGGGCCUAGGCCCAUCCUCUGCGUAAACUUAUAUAUACGGCUCAUUUAUGAUGUGUUAUACCUUCUUUUAAGUAUGUGAGGUGCAUGUAUCAUAGUAUCA